UGAGGAAUAUUGGUCAAUGGACGAGAGUCUGAACCAGCCAAGUAGCGUGCAGGAUGACGGCCCUAUGGGUUGUAAACUGCUUUUGUUUGGGAAUAAUCGACAUUACGUGUAAUGUUUUGCAUGUACCAUUCGAAUAAGGACCGGCUAAUUCCGUGCCAGCAGCCGCGGUAAUACGUAUGGUGCGAGCGUUGUCCGGAAUUAUUGGGCGUAAAGGGUACGUAGGCGGUCUAUUAAGUCAGGUGUGAAAGCGUGAGGCUUAACCUCAUUAAGCACUUGAAACUGAUAGACUUGAGUGAAGGAGAGGAAAGUGGAAUUCCUAGUGUAGCGGUGAAAUGCGUAGAUAUUAGGAGGAAUACCGGUGGCGAAGGCGACUUUCUGGACUUUUACUGACGCUCAGGUACGAAAGCGUGGGGAGCAAACAGG
rnacentral:rRNA from 1 species